rnacentral:rRNA from 1 species
UGGGGAAUUUUGGACAAUGGGCGAAAGCCUGAUCCAGCAAUGCCGCGUGUGUGAAGAAGGCCUUCGGGUUGUAAAGCACUUUUGUCCGGAAAGAAAUCCUUGGCUCUAAUACAGUCGGGGGAUGACGGUACCGGAAGAAUAAGCACCGGCUAACUACGUGCCAGCAGCCGCGGUAAUACGUAGGGUGCAAGCGUUAAUCGGAAUUACUGGGCGUAAAGCGUGCGCAGGCGGUUUGCUAAGACCGAUGUGAAAUCCCCGGGCUCAACCUGGGAACUGCAUUGGUGACUGGCAGGCUAGAGUAUGGCAGAGGGGGGUAGAAUUCCACGUGUAGCAGUGAAAUGCGUAGAGAUGUGGAGGAAUACCGAUGGCGAAGGCAGCCCCCUGGGCCAAUACUGACGCUCAUGCACGAAAGCGUGGGGAGCAAACAGGAUUAGAUACCCUGGUAGUCCACGCCCUAAACGAUGUCAACUAGUUGUUGGGGAUUCAUUCCUUAGUAACGUAGCUAACGCGUGAAGUUGACCGCCUGGGGAGUACGGUCGCAAGAUUAAAACUUAAAGGAAUUGACGGGGUCAUA